GACAGAGGAUGCAAGCGUUAUCCGGAAUGAUUGGGCGUAAAGCGUCUGUAGGUGGCUUUUCAAGUCCGCCGUCAAAUCCCAGGGCUCAACCCUGGACAGGCGGUGGAAACUACCAAGCUGGAGUACGGUAGGGGCAGAGGGAAUUUCCGGUGGAGCGGUGAAAUGCAUUGAGAUCGGAAAGAACACCAACGGCGAAAGCACUCGUAGCUGGGCCGACACUGACACUGAGAGACGAAGCUAGGGGAGCAAAUGGGAUUAGGAUAACC
rnacentral:rRNA from 1 species